rnacentral:rRNA from 1 species
UACAGAGGGGGCAAGCGUUGUUCGGAAUUAUUGGGCGUAAAGGGCGCGUAGGCGGCUUUUCAAGUGACGGGUGAAAUCCCUCGGCUUAACCGAGGAACUGCCUGUCAGACUGGAAGGCUUGAGACCGGGAGAGGUGAGUGGAAUUCCCAGUGUAGCGGUGAAAUGCGUAGAUAUUGGGAGGAACACCAGUGGCGAAGGCGGCUCACUGGACCGGAACUGACGCUGAGGCGCGAAAGCUAGGGGAGCAAACGGG